AGACAGAUAGGAGAACUGGGUUGUUUUUUGCAUCAAAAGCCAUCUUCUGUCUUCAUCACCCCAGCCUUCUUCCUUUGAGUCACCUGCUCCCAGCUGGACCAAGCAGAUGUACCCGCGAUUUACACGUAAGUGAGUCCGCCUGUGCAGAAGACGUGAGACAACGCAAACCCUGAGAGCAGACCCGUGACAAAUGUGGCAGCCUUUGUAAUCUCACGUUUGUCUUUAAACAUCAGUUAUGUGUUCAUUGAGGAGCCAUAUCUUGACAGCCUUGUUCACCUGCAAACCUUACUUGUGAGCAGUUUCUUUUCUCAAAGCUUCGUCUUCCCGUGGUGAAAUCAGGGUCCCAGCGAGGACUGGAGGUUACAGCCUGACGGAGCAGCUGCGUGGCCAGAACUCCCUGGGAGGGGACCUGAGUGCAGGAGGGCGCCCCAGCCCCUGUGGGCCUCACGAGCUCCGGGAACUGGGGUGGGGGGCCUCGCUGUCCUUCCUGGAGGUGGACGCUCCCAAGCCCAGGCCUGCCUCAGGGGCCAGGGGUCAGCACACCUGGGG
ensembl:lncRNA